UUGAGCGAGAGAAGGGCAUUCGGUGGAUGCCUUGGCACCAGGAGGCGAUGAAGGACGUGGCACGCUGCGAAAAGCCACGGGGAGCCGCGAGCAGGCUUUGAUCCGUGGACAUCCGAAUGGGGCAACCCACCCGCGAGGGUAUCGUUACAUGAAUCCAUAGUGUAACGAGGCAAACCCGGGGAACUGAAACAUCUCAGUACCCGGAGGAACAGACAUCAACGAGAUUCCGUCAGUAGUGGCGAGCGAAAGCGGAACAGGCCAGUGGUCAACUGGGGAUAAGCGGAACGGUCUGGAAAGUCCGGCCAUAGCGGGUGAUAGCCCCGUACGCGUAAAGACCAGUUGAUCCUUGAGUAAGGCGGGACACGUGAAAUCCUGUCUGAACAUGGGGGGACCACCCUCCAAGCCUAAAUACUCCCUGGUGACCGAUAGCGAACAAGUACCGUGAGGGAAAGGUGAAAAGCACCCCGAGAGGGGAGUGAAACAGACCUGAAACCGGAUGCCUACAAGCAGUCGGAGCCUCUUCAUGGGGUGACGGCGUACCUUUUGUAUAAUGGGUCAGCGAGUUUCCGUUCGCGGCAAGCUUAAGCCGAUAGGCGAAGGCGGAGCGAAAGCGAGUCUGAACAGGGCGUUCAGUCGCGGGCGGAAGACCCGAAACCGGGUGAUCUAGCCAUGGCCAGGUUGAAGGUGGGGUAACACCCACUGGAGGACCGAACUCACGCCUGUUGAAAAAGUCGGAGAUGAGCCGUGGCUAGGGGUGAAAGGCCAAUCAAACCCGGAGAUAGCUGGUUCUCCGCGAAAUCUAUUGAGGUAGAUCGUCAUGCGUUUACCCCGGGGGGUAGAGCACUGGAUGGGCUAGGGGGACCCAAAGUCUUACCAAACCUAACCAAACUCCGAAUACCCGGGAGUAUAGCGUGGCAGACAGACGGCGGGUGCUAAGGUCCGUCGUCGAGAGGGAAACAGCCCAGACCGCCAGCUAAGGUCCCCAAAUCGUGGCUAAGUGGGAAAGGAUGUAGGAAGGCCAAGACAACCAGGAGGUUGGCUUAGAAGCAGCCAUCCUUUAAAGAAAGCGUAAUAGCUCACUGGUCUAACAGAAAUCCCGCGCCGAAAAUGUAACGGGGCUCAAGCCACGUACCGAAGCUGUGGAAUCAGUUGUCAGUUGUCAGUUUCCAGUUGUCAGACAGGAGUACCAGGCGAUGGCGGGAGAUGCGUGGAAACUUAAAGUGUUUCAGCGCGCCUACCGGUUGUCGUUGGAACUUCACCGAGCCAGCCUGGAUUGGCCGCGGGUGGAGCAGUACGGCGGCGUGGCGGAACAGUUGCGCCGCGCGUCGAAAUCGGUCUGUGCCCUUCUCGUGGAAGGCGCCGGCCGGCAGCCGGCAUCGGAUGCCGAAUUCCGCCGCUAUGUGAUGAUGGCGAUCGGUUCGGCCGACGAGGCGCGGCUGUGGUGCGAAUACGCCGCCGAUCUCGAGUUUGUCGCGCGUGACACAUCACGCGCCUGGCAGAACGAGUUGGCGGAAAUCGCCCGCAUGCUGCAAGGCCUGCGCGCGAGCCUGUCUGAAAACUGAAAACUGACAACUGACAACUGAUUGGUAGCGGAGCGUUCCGUAAGUCUGCGAAGCCAUACCCGUGAGGGGUGGUGGAGAUAUCGGAAGUGCGAAUGCUGACAUGAGUAGCGACAAACAGAGUGAGAAACUCUGUCGCCGAAAGUCCAAGGGUUCCCGCGCAAGGUUAAUCCGCGCGGGGUCAGCCGGCCCCUAAGGCGAGGGCGAAAGCCGUAGUCGAUGGGAACCAGGUCAACAUUCCUGGGCCUGCCAGAAGUGACGGAUGCGAACUGUUGUUCGAACUUAUCGGAUUGUUCGGGCUUUGUAAGCAUCCCGGGAAAUAGCUCUGGCGUACAGACCGUACCCGAAACCGACACAGGUGGACUGGUAGAGCAUACCAAGGCGCUUGAGAGAACGAUGCUGAAGGAACUAGGCAAAUUGCUCGCGUAACUUCGGGAUAAGCGAGACCUGUUGCCGGGCAACCGGUGGCGGGUGGCACAGAGCAGGGGGUAGCGACUGUUUAGUAAAAACACAGGGCUCUGCGAAGUCGAGAGACGACGUAUAGGGUCUGACGCCUGCCCGGUGCCGGAAGGUUAAGAGGAGGUGUGCAAGCACUGAAUUGAAGCCCCGGUAAACGGCGGCCGUAACUAUAACGGUCCUAAGGUAGCGAAAUUCCUUGUCGGGUAAGUUCCGACCUGCACGAAUGGCGUAACGACUUCCCCACUGUCUCCAGCAUCGGCUCAGCGAAAUUGAAUUCCCCGUGAAGAUGCGGGGUACCCGCGGUCAGACGGAAAGACCCUAUGAACCUUUACUGUAGCUUCGCAGUGGCAGCAGGAGAACUCUGUGUAGGAUAGGUGGGAGACUUUGAAGCCGGGCCGCCAGGUCAGGUGGAGUCAACCUUGAAAUACCACCCUGAGUGCUUUUGCUGUCUAACCGAGACCGGUCAUCCCGGUCCGGGACCCUGCGUGGUGGGCAGUUUGACUGGGGCGGUCGCCUCCCAAAAAGUAACGGAGGCGCGCGAUGGUGGGCUCAGGCCGGUCGGACAUCGGCUGCUGAGUGCAAUGGCACAAGCCCGCCUGACUGCGAGAGUGACAGCUCGAGCAGAGACGAAAGUCGGCCAUAGUGAUCCGGUGGUCCCGCGUGGAAGGGCCAUCGCUCAACGGAUAAAAGGUACUCUAGGGAUAACAGGCUGAUCUCCCCCAAGAGUCCACAUCGACGGGGAGGUUUGGCACCUCGAUGUCGGCUCAUCACAUCCUGGGGCUGGAGCAGGUCCCAAGGGUUCGGCUGUUCGCCGAUUAAAGUGGUACGUGAGCUGGGUUUAGAACGUCGUGAGACAGUUCGGUCCCUAUCUGCCGUGGGUGAAGGAGAUUUGCGAGGAGCUGUCCCUAGUACGAGAGGACCGGGAUGGACAUACCUCUGGUGCACCGGUUGUCACGCCAGUGGCACGGCCGGGUAGCUAAGUAUGGACGGGAUAACCGCUGAAAGCAUCUAAGCGGGAAACCCACCUCUAAACGAGUUCUCCCCGAGGGCCGUGAAAGACCAUCACGUUGACAGGCCGGGUGUGGAAGUGGGGCAACCCAUGAAGCUGACCGGUUCUGAUCGCCCGAUAGACUCCGAUCC
rnacentral:rRNA from 1 species